UCUUUCCCUAGCGCUCCACAUAAAUCAACGCCUAAACUACUCUGCACACUCCCUUUGUUUUUUGUGAGAGAAUAUGUCAUGCCUGAUGCCUCUCCACACCACUCUUUCUCCCUCUUCAGAUUAGGAUAUGGUUUGGUUAAGUUUGAAUUUGAAUUAGUUUGAAUUCAAAUCCUAGUUUGAAUUGGUUUUUAUCUUCUCAAACUCCACCUAAUCUUAUCUUAUCCUAACACCUUUUGGAUGCCAAUUAAGAGGGGUCAUAAGGGGGCGUGUAAGGGUUUGAGAAAAAGUUUUUAACAUGAAAACUAGGGAGAGGGCAUGGGUUUUUCUUAAGAGUGGCGUAAGGUCUUCCAAGGGGUUCAACUUUGGGCCUUAGGGUUUUAAGAAGGGAGAAAAUAAUAGAGAAGUGUUCUCAUCUCCUCUUCCUCCUAUUAUUCCUUCUCUUCUCUAGAAAGUUUGUGAGAUUCAUAGAAAGAUCAAGAUCAGUCAUCAAGAUGUGAUCUCUACAAGAGAGCUAGCAUCUCGGGGGGAUCAAGAAGCCUCCGAUCAGAUCAAAUCUCAUGUGAAUAUCCGUAGAGAUUGGACGCGUAUGUGGCUACAUUAGAACCAAAAGACAUCCUUAGAUCCAGAUCUAAAGAAGUUCAGUAUUUUAAAUAUAUGAUUUGAUCAUAUAUUAUAUUUUAUUUUAGAACUCAGAUGCUUAUCUCUCUUAUUUAUCAUCAUAUGAACUAGAUCUAUAGGUGUUUAGUUUAGUUUUAUGCAUGCAUAGAUUAAAUUAGAUUUGAUCUAGUCUUCCACUGCUAUUUAAAAAUUAUUUUUGAAAAUUCUACAUGCUUAAAAUACCUAAAUCCAAUAGUGAUAUCAGAGUCAGGUUCAUAUGCAUGAGAAUAAGAUGAGAUCUUAUUUCUAAAUCAGAUCUGAAAUUAAUCUGAUAUAGAUCUAACAUCGAUAUGAUAUAAGGUUGUCCUGGCAUAAGAUUUACCCCUUAUAUUAUAAAGAUUAUCCUAUAUCGAUGUUGGAUAUUUUAAAAAUUAAUUUUAAAAUUUUAGAUCUAAUUUUUAUUCAUAUAUGAGAUGUAUGAAUAUUUUUAGAUCUAAUAUAUCAUGAUUUGUUUGACAUUGAUACGAAAUAAGGUUGUCUUAUAUCAAUAUUGAACAAUUUUAGAUUUGAUUUUAAAUCAUGUAUGAGAUAUAUAAUUGUGAAUUUAGAUCUAAAAAUUAAUUUUUUAGAUCCGAUUAUUUAUCAUGUAUGAGAUAUAUGAAUCAUUUUAUAGAUAUAAAAAUUAAUUUUAAAUCUAAUUAUAUCAUGUAUAAAUGAUUGCUGAAAUUUGAAAACUAAUUUCAAAUUUGUAACAUGUUUAGAUCUUAAUUUA
rnacentral:lncRNA from 1 species